GUGUCUUGUCUAAAUAUUGAAGGUUUAGUUAUAUUUACUGUACAACUCACAGGUAAAUAUAUUUAUACUUACAGUAUAGGUCAUUUUAUAUUCAUUUUUCAGCAUCUAAAGAAAUCAUUGAACCAGCUUCGUGAAGGUUAUGUAGUUGUUCAGACAACUUGAACCCCAAAACAACAAACUCCCUCAAUUAUUGUAUUCUGUCAUUGACUGUAGGUUAAUUUAUAUGCUUAUUGUUAUUUCUUAUUUUUCAAUAAUCAUUAAAACAUAUUUUAUUGGUGGAUUGGUGAAAAAAAGACAAGUGCUUUUGUUCUAAAACAACACAGAUUCACCAGUUACACUUUUUCAAUAAAUCACAAUCAUUCCUUCAAUUUUUUUAUUACACAAUAUUUCACUCUUAUAAGAAAUCCAGUAAUAUUUGACCAGUAAUAUAUAAUCUUAACAUGUCUGCCUCCAUUUGCUGACUCAUUCAUGUAAAAUAAAUCUCUGUAUUUGUCAAAUCCCUGAAGAGUGGAGUAUUCAUAUAAAACUUAUAUAUUGCAUAUUACACUUUGCUAUUAAUAAUUACUGUGUAUUUUUUCAAUUACCUGAAUCCCUCUGCCCCAACAGAGUAUUUCUGAGAUUUAAAUAAAAUUGUGAUGACCACUGUACAUUCCUAUGCUUUAAAGGUGAAACAGAAAAAAAACAAAAAAAACAAAACAUGACUCAUGACUCUGAGGUGGUUCCAGGAAAUACAACAUACAACUUGUUUGACUUGUUACAAACUUUGUUACCUGGCACAUUUACUGAAUAUGUCUGCAGAGAAGGACAUGAUUUUACUAUCUUUGAGAACAACAUGAAGUUUUUAGUUUUCCUGUGUGUGCUGUCAUUUCCAACAGAUGUUUUUACAGGUUGGAUUUCAUAGGAUUUGUUUCUGAAUCAGUUGCAGUACAGGUUGUUGUGUUUUUUCAUUUGUACACAUGUUAAUUUUAAACAUGUACAAAAUAUUAUUGUUUCAAUUUUAUUGUAGGAUCUCAACAUGCUGACUGUUUGAUUGUAAAUGAAAAUGACUUUUCUUGUUACUGUUUCUCACAGGUUCUCACUCCUUGUGGUUCCUUGCUACUUACAUUGAAGGAGAAACACCAUUUCCUACAUUUAGUGUCUUAUAUAUAUUGGAUGACAUUGCAGUUGGAUACUAUGAUUCAGAGACAAACAGCUACAUUCCAAGGGGAAAUACUACAAAUGAAGACGAGGAGGUUGAUCUCAUAAGUUAUAACAUAAGGGAAUAUUUGGAACCUUUUAUUUUUGGGAGACUAGCAAGAAGGUUUGAGAACAAAACAAAAGGUAAAGCAAGCAUAAACUGAGGCAUGCAAUGUUGUAUCUUGUUUCUUAAAUCAAAAUAAAUAAAAGUUAAGUUGUAAUAAAGCCAUAAACAAACUGAAAUGUUAAAUAUUUUUGUUGGUUUUUGUUCAGAGUCAGACUUAAGACCAGAGUCGGAUCUUUUACUGAUCCUGAGUCACGAGGACAGUGGGGCAUAAAAUAAGAUGAGACUGUCCUCCUCCGAAAAACGACCCCAUAGGUCGUUUGUGCAAGCAGCGUAUUACGACCUAUUAUUACGUUUUUAAAUCAAGCGCCCUCUAGCAGCCUUAGAAAUUACGACAGUCUCGUUUGUCUGGUGUGUCGUCAUCAAAUGACCUUUGACUGUCGUUACCAUCGUUACUAAUUAAAAAAGGAGGAGUGACCCAACAAUUCACCAUACGUCGUUGUCCAGUUUCUUCAGAUCACAUACAUCUCCAUCUCCUACAACAACCUUUAGUGACCAGCAGCUGUUUAACAGCUCUCUCUCUCUCUCUCUCUCUCUCUCUCAGCUUUUCCUUGCCUAUUUUUCUGAACUGUUAUUCAUAAUUCAUUUACACAUUUUUGCUCUCUUUCUUCCUUUCUCAUUUUUAUCAUGGCAUAUUUUCAAAGCUCAGAAUUGAAUUUUGAUCGGUUAUGUCAAAAAGCUGCUAAUAUUAACAGGUAACUAGUACUGGAAGCUCAGUGCUGAACCUGAAGAAGCUGCCAAAGGUUCAACAUUUUCUGUUUUCUUUGUUUCAGCUAAAAAGGAAGACCAAAGGAAGGCCUGUCGAACUCUUGUCUUGUCUUGUUUGUGGAGAGGGAUGAAUUUGGCCAUCUUGUGUGUUUAUGGAGAAGACCAAAAGCUGCAAAGGCAAACAUUUCCAAUGGAUUUCUCACAUACUACUCCAUCAGCUCUCCACAAUAUCAGCCGUUUCAAAAGCUUCCACAUCUCUGUCUCUCUCUCUGCUCUCACAUCUGUUCUCAGUCCUUCACUACCAGCUUCCAGUCUUAGCAUGUCUGCGUGUAUUAAUUUUUCCUCUACAGUCAACACUCCCAUCUCUACUGUGAGCACUUCUGUCGCUAUCACUAUGACUUUUAUAAUUAUAAAAUUAUAAUUAUCAACCAUUUUAAUUUGUCUUGCAUAUAGUCACAAUAGAAGAAACAAUGAUUACAGGAGAUACAUUUUUAGCCUAUUUGUUCAUUAAAGGGAAAACAAUAACGUCUUUUCAAUUGGAGGCUCAACUUCCAGUUUGUAAAAUAUUAUUUGGCAUCUUAUAACAUUUUUCUGUAAACAAACUCUCUUUUUCUUUUUGAAUAUUAGACAGUUUUUUUUUUAAGGGGUCUCCAAUUGCAUACUUUUUAGUUACAUGUUUGUUUCAUGUACCCAUUAAUUACUUUAUCAAUCAGUCAUUGAUUUAGGUUGUUAUAUUUCACUGUAAUUGAUUAAGUUUUUGCAGAUACAUUUUCAUAAUCAACUACUUUUUUUUUCUGGGUUUUUUGUUUUUUUUCAUAGUGACACUAACUAGAGAGAGAAUGUUGUUCUGGGCACUAUGUUUGCCUUGGAAAAGUUUGACAUAUCA